rnacentral:rRNA from 1 species
UACGAAGGGGGCUAGCGUUGCUCGGAAUCACUGGGCGUAAAGCGCACGUAGGCGGAUUGCUAAGUCAGGGGUGAAAUCCCGGAGCUCAACUCCGGAACUGCCUUUGAUACUGGCGAUCUUGAGUCCGGGAGAGGUGAGUGGAACUGCGAGUGUAGAGGUGAAAUUCGUAGAUAUUCGCAAGAACACCAGUGGCGAAGGCGGCUCACUGGCCCGAUACUGACGCUGAGGCACGAAAGCGUGGGGAGCAAACAGG